UGGGGAAUUUUGGACAAUGGGCGAAAGCCUGAUCCAGCAAUGCCGCGUGUGUGAAGAAGGCCUUCGGGUUGUAAAGCACUUUUGUCCGGAAAGAAAUCCUUGGCUCUAAUACAGUCGGGGGAUGACGGUACCGGAAGAAUAAGCACCGGCUAACUACGUGCCAGCAGCCGCGGUAAUACGUAGGGUGCAAGCGUUAAUCGGAAUUACUGGGCGUAAAGCGUGCGCAGGCGGUUUGCUAAGACCGAUGUGAAAUCCCCGGGCUCAACCUGGGAACUGCAUUGGUGACUGGCAGGCUAGAGUAUGGCAGAGGGGGGUAGAAUUCCACGUGUAGCAGUGAAAUGCGUAGAGAUGUGGAAGAAUACCGAUGGCGAAGGCAGCCCCCUGGGCCAAUACUGACGCUCAUGCACGAAAGCGUGGGGAGCAAACAGGAUUAGAUACCCUGGUAGUCCACGCCCUAAACGAUGUCAACUAGUUGCUGGGGAUUCAUUUCCUUAGUAACGUAGCUAACGCGUGAAGUUGACCGCCUGGGGAGUACGGUCGCAA
rnacentral:rRNA from 1 species